CUGAUCGUUUUUUAUUAAAAGUGCAAAUAAAAGGGCUCUCCCCGUUCCGCCGGCCACUCCAGCCGUCGACGGAGCUGCUUGCGCCGAGAUCCCUCCACCCGCCCGCCUUCUUCCCGGCAACCCAGGCCCCACCCUAGGCGCGGCGAUGGGCGCCGGGGCGCGGGCGACGGCGGCGGCGCUCGCGAGGGCGGACGCCGGCGGCGACAUCGUCCACCAGGACGUCGACGCGCCCAAGAUUCUCGGCUACUCGAACGACUUCAUGCUCGUAUUCUCCGUCUCUCCAGCCGCCAGACACGAAGAAGAAGUCCGCGACUCUGGCGGCGGUUGCCCACGGCCAAUGAGAAGGAAGCCGCGGCAGUUCCAGGGACAAGAAGACGACAGCAGCCCCCCGACGGCCUCCUGCAAGCACAGCGAGGAAAAAAGGGUGGUGUGGUUCGGUUGGAUGCCCCGUUACUAAAAUAUCUUGUUGAAAAACUGCAGUUUUCUGUAAAGAUAUAUGUUUGAGUGAAGAAGUUGUCAAGAAGACAAAAUCAGUUGGGAAGCUCAAACAAGAAGCUGAGAAUAGCCUAUAAUAGAGUGAAAGAUUUAACAACGAGAAGGCUGAGUUUGAGCAAGCUUCCUUCACAAAAGCAUGUCAUGGACCCUCUGAUCCUGGCCUCCACUCCGUCGAGGCACAUAUGAGGGUUACCAUGAUUCUGGUAGUGCUUGUUCUACCAUCAGGUGGAGGGCUAUGAGGAUGUUGUGGCAAUAAGACUAUGCCGCCAUAUAGGUUCAAUCAGUACAUGAAGCAGAUGCCGCGUACUAUAUUGCUUAUCUGUGCAGGGCUAAGAGGAAGUUGAUGCAUGGCAGGGGACGGAGGUGCAGCGAGAUCCUGGAGAGGCCGCGCCGAUGCAUCUUCUAAAGGGUGACUCGAAACCAGCAGAGGGACAGGGAUCAUGUGAAAACGCUGAUUCAGUGAAAAUCUGGAAACUCAACUCUUGGGCCAUCGGAUCAAUAAGGAGCGCACAGAUGAGAGGGUGGGCUUGCUAAUCACUUGGUCGUACUUUUACACGGGGCUGACUGUACUUUUAUGAGGGUGGGCUUGCUAAUCACUUACCCUUGCCCUUUCCGUUGACCGAGCUGCUCGCGGCCGAUCCCUCCACCUGCCCGCCUCCCUCCUGGCAACCUAGGCCCCACCGUAGGCGCGAUGAUGGGCGCCGGGGCGCGAUCGACGACAGCGGCGCUCGCGGUGGCACUCGUGCUGAUCUCUUUGUGUGUUUGUACAGAGGAGGUACUUUUCAUAGAGUAAUUUUGAAUGGUUCCGAAAAAAGUACUUGAACUGAUGUCCGUAUAGUUUUGUACUGAGCGUGUUUUUGUAGACUAGACUUUACUCUCUUUUUUUGGUACGGCUUUUCCUCGUAACUUUUCAAUGGUUUACGGUUUUCAUAGUCCUCGAACUUGCAUGGAUUUAUAUCAUUGAACUGAAUGAUAUUUUACGAAAAGAAAAUGUUUUAUGUGUUUCCUUUUUUAAACUCAAAUUUUUUUGCAACGAUGUUUUGGACUUCUCGCGUUUUGCAGCUUGAACUUUUACCAUUUGAAUUUUCGUGGGUUUUUCUUUUGUUUAAGUUUUUCCCCAAACUUAUCUGAGUCGUCAUGUUUGAACAUACAACUUUUGUAGUUGUGAACUUGUGGUUUUUUCCUUUAUGAAGUUGUUUUUUUCCUCCGAACUUUUACUACUACAAUUGUUUUUGCAAAUUUAUUGUCCCUUGAGUCAGAACUAAUGCAAUUUUUAAUUUAUGGUACUUAUAGUACUAGAGAGUUUGUACUUCUCAAAAAAUAAUCACUUGAUGUUCUUUUAGUUUUAGUUUUUAAUUUCCUUUCGCAUCCUUAUCCUUACUGACGGUGUCAUCACCAUCGUACCUUUAUGGUUUAUAUAGUUGAAUGGACUUACAUUUUUACCAUUUCCUUCUUUUUAAAAACUUAUAGUACCAA